AACUCAUCGGCGACCCAGCUUCUGCGGCUUUUGUGUACUGAAAGAAAGAUGUUGCUCGCAUUGCCUUGUUUGAUUUGCAACCAACUGCAACGAUGACGAAUGCGGCAGCAAUAGCGAAGACGUUAAUCAUCUCGUAGCUCAAUCCCGAAUGCUGCGGAAUAGGUUUGAUCCAUUGGAUCUUUCCGACAAGAAAUUCGUUAACAAUUACUACGUUACUAAGGAAGUAUUCCUACAAAUACUAACUGAAAUCGAACCCAAGUUUGUUCCAAUCGGGGCAAAAGGACUGGCGGUGAAGGAAAUGUUGGCCGCAACGUUGAAGUUCUUGGCAGAGGGAAGCCACGAGAACGUUCCCGACAUGCCCACGAAUGCCACCGUUGUCCAGUCAACGUUUUCCGUCAUUUUUUUCAAAAACACUAAAAAUCAUGCAGGACCCGUUGUGUAAAUACGUUAGCCUGGCGAUGGAUCCGGCCGAGGAGCAGGAAGUACGCCAAGACUUUUACGAAACCUGUGCCAUUCCCGACGUCGUGUUAUGUGUGUGGAUGGUAUGCACGUUAAAAUGAAAGCACCAUCUCGCGAAAAGAUCGCGUUCCAUCACUGGCGAGGAUAUUACUGCUUAAACGUGUUGAUAGCAUGCGAUCAUAAGAUGAGAAUUCGCUACGUAGAUCCAAGAUACGGAGCCUCCUGCAAUGACGGUAUUGUAUAUGUACAGGGCGGAAUUGACCAGUUUUUAGAGAGAGAGAGUAUAAGCAAGGUCAAACCAAUUACAAAACUUUGGGUGAGUGUUA